GACAUUACUUCGAGGUCACUGCAUCUUUCUUGAAGAGCAUGUUGACAUGUCCUAAAACCUGCAAACUAGAUUGGUCUCUACACACACACAUACAUAGACAAACACGGAAAAAAUAAAUCCAUGGAAAGAAAGACGAAAUCGAUGCAUGCCAUUCCUCUGCAAAAAGCUAUCUGGAGAGUAGGAGAUUGAAGAAAUAUAGUGGAGCUGGUAAACAGUCUCAAAGUUCCCAUUAACAACUGGAGAAAACUAUCUUUAACUUUGAAGUAGCAAAAGGUAGCUCCCAAGGAAUCCAAGGUCCUGCUUUAAUCAUAACAACGCAUUUGAUGUCAUUAUGCAUCCUGGUAUGGCUUCGAGAGUUUAUAUUUUUGCAUCAUUUUGCUUUGUUUUUAUUGAAUCAAAAACCUAACAUUGGAUUAAUCAAACUUGAAAUUCAAAAUUUUCAGGGAAGAUAUGAGUUGAAUUCAGCCAUCAGAAGCUUAGAUUUUGAUCCCUUGUUUUUUUAUAAUGAAAAAAAAAAUGUCUACCAUGCAAAAUGUUUUUUUUUAGAACUAUUGUUGUUGGCCCAUUACGAAGCACUCAUCUUGCAUGGCUCUGGUUUUUUUCUACUUCUAUCUGGGCCAUGCUAGAAUUGUCACCCAAAAGUUCAGGAUUUUUAUUAUUUUUCUUGUUUUUAUCAAAUUAAUGCACCCCUGUUGUUAGAGAGGCUACUGCCAUCCUUGAAGGUUGAUUUAAUCAAAUUCCAUUGACUA